rnacentral:sRNA from 1 species
AUAAUGCUGGAAUGAACAUCCAAAUGAAUCAGUCUUUGAGCACUUCCUUGAAUGUUUCCUUAAAAUAGAUUCCUAAGAGUAGAAUUCCUGUUCAGAGUUUUAAGCUUUUAUUGUAUUAAAUUACUUUUUAGAAAAGAAUGUACCAGUUUAUAUUCUCAGCAGUAAUGUGUGAGAAUAUCCGUUUGCCUUUCCAGCACUGGAUGAAAACAAAAAAUUGGUCUAUGUGAUAGCUACUUCUGACCCCCUGCCCAAGGAACAGAAAAUAAAUGGUAUCUCAGUGUUUUAAUAUUUUUUAUUAGGCUUUCUGUGAAGAAUUGGAAUCAAUGAUACAGGAGCAAUUUAAGAAGGGGAAGAACCCCACAGGCCUAUUGGCUUUACAGCAGAUUGCAGAUUUUAUGACCACGAAUGUACCAAAUGUCUACCCAGCAGCUCCGCAAGGAGGGAUGGCUGCCUUAAACAUGAGUCUUGGUAUGGUGACUCCUGUGAACGAUCUUAGAGGAUCUGAUUCUAUUGCGUAUGACAAAGGAGAGAAGUUAUUACGGUGUAAAUUGGCAGCGUUUUAUAGACUAGCAGAUCUCUUUGGGUGGUCUCAGCUUAUCUACAAUCAUAUCACAACCAGAGUGAACUCCGAGCAGGAACACUUCCUCAUUGUCCCUUUUGGGCUUCUUUACAGUGAAGUGACUGCAUCCAGUUUGGUUAAGAUCAAUCUACAAGGAGAUAUAGUAGAUCGUGGAAGCACUAAUCUGGGAGUAAAUCAAGCCGGCUUCACCUUACACUCUGCAAUUUAUGCUGCACG